AUACGGAGGGUGCAAGCGUUGUUCGGAAUUAUUGGGCGUAAAGCGCGUGUAGGCGGUCUGUUAAGUCUGGUGUGAAAGCCCUGGGCUCAACCCAGGAAGUGCAUUGGAUACUGGCAGACUUGAGUAUGGGAGAGGAAAGCGGAAUUCCGAGUGUAGGAGUGAAAUCCGUAGAUAUUCGGAGGAACACCAGUGGCGAAGGCGGCUUUCUGGACCAAUACUGACGCUGAGACGCGAAAGCGUGGGGAGCAAACAGGAUUAGAUACCCGUGUAGUCC
rnacentral:rRNA from 1 species